rnacentral:rRNA from 1 species
CCUACGGGAGGCAGCAGUGGGGAAUAUUGCACAAUGGGGGAAACCCUGAUGCAGCGACGCCGCGUGAGCGAAGAAGUAUUUCGGUAUGUAAAGCUCUAUCAGCAGGGAAGAAAAUGACGGUACCUGACUAAGAAGCACCGGCUAAAUACGUGCCAGCAGCCGCGGUAAUACGUAUGGUGCAAGCGUUAUCCGGAUUUACUGGGUGUAAAGGGAGCGCAGGCGGUGCGGCAAGUCUGAUGUGAAAGCCCGGGGCUCAACCCCGGUACUGCAUUGGAAACUGUCGUCUAGAGUGUCGGAGGGGUAAGCGGAAUUCCUAGUGUAGCGGUGAAAUGCGUAGAUAUUAGGAGGAACACCAGUGGCGAAGGCGGCUUACUGGACGAUAACUGACGCUGAGGCUCGAAAGCGUGGGGAGCAAACAGGAUUAGAUACCCUUGUAGUC